rnacentral:lncRNA from 1 species
CUCUCUCUCUCACUCUCUCUCUAUCUUUCUCGCUCUCGCUCUCUCUCUCUCUCUCUCUCUCUCUCUCUCUCUCUCUCUCUCUCUCUCUCUCUCUCUCUCUGUGUCUUUCUUUCUUUCUUUCUUCUAGGUGGCAGCCUUGGACUAUCUCUCCCCCAGACAGUUGGCUGAGCUGGUUGUUCUUCCUGACCUUCCCAACAGAGAUGAGGCCAUCCACAAAGUGUUUGACACCUUGACACAACCUCCGCGUGCCACAGACCUCCCUGAGUUCCUCCGCCAUCUUAUGAUGCUCUCUGAAGAGGUGAUGGUUCCAUGUGACUCAUAUAGAACCAUCUUUGGGAGGCUCUAUCUGGCCUUGUCAUCUGUUCCCGGCGAGACUGAGCCGCUGGUCUGGGCAGCCAUACGCAAACUGAUGCAGACCGCUCCAGCA